GACGAACGCUGGCGGCGUGCUUAACACAUGCAAGUCGAACGGAAAGGCCCUGCUUUUGUGGGGUGCUCGAGUGGCGAACGGGUGAGUAACACGUGAGUAACCUGCCCUUGACUUUGGGAUAACUUCAGGAAACUGGGGCUAAUACCGGAUAGGAGCUCCUGCUGCAUGGUGGGGGUUGGAAAGUUUCGGCGGUUGGGGAUGGACGCGCGGCUUAUCAGCUUGUUGGUGGGGUAGUGGCUUACCAAGGCUUUGACGGGUAGCCGGCCUGAGAGGGUGACCGGCCACAUUGGGACUGCGAUACGGCCCAGACUCCUACGGGAGGCAGCAGUGGGGAAUAUUGCACAAUGGGCGGAAGCCUGAUGCAGCAACGCCGCGUGCGGGAUGACGGCCUUCGGGUUGUAAACCGCUUUCGCCUGUGACGAAGCGUGAGUGACGGUAAUGGGUAAAGAAGCACCGGCUAACUACGUG
rnacentral:rRNA from 1 species